UACGUAGGGUGCGAGCGUUUAAUCGGAAUUACUGGGCGUAAAGCGUGCGCAGGCGGCUUCUCAAGUCAGGGGGUGAAAGCCCAGAGCUUAACUCUGGAAUUGCCUUUGAGACUGAGAGGCUUGAGUACGGGAGAGGUGAGUGGAAUUCCCAGUGUAGAGGUGAAAUUCGUAGAUAUUGGGAAGAACACCGGUGGCGAAGGCGGCUCACUGGGCCCGUAACUGACGCUCAUGCACGACAGCGUGGGGAUCAAACAGG
rnacentral:rRNA from 1 species